CACGCCGUAAACGAUGGAUGCUAGCUGUUAGGAGUAUCGACCCUUCUAGUAGCGAAGCUAACGCGUUAAGCAUCCCGCCUGGGGAGUACGGUCGCAAGAUUAAAACUCAAAGGAAUUGACGGGGACCCGCACAAGUGGUGGAGCGUGUUCUUUAAUUCGAUGUUAAGCGAAGAACCUUACCAGGACUUGACAUCCUUGGAAUUUCUGGGAAACCAGAAAGUGCCUUUUGGAGCCAAGUGACAGGUGU
rnacentral:rRNA from 1 species